UACGAAGGGGGCUAGCGUUGCUCGGAAUUACUGGGCGUAAAGCGCACGUAGGCGGUCUUUUAAGUCGGGGGUGAAAUCCUGGAGCUCAACUCCAGAACUGCCUCGAUACUGGAAGACUCGAGUCCGGGAGAGGUGAGUGGAACUGCGAGUGUAGAGGUGAAAUUCGUAGAUAUUCGCAAGAACACCAGUGGCGAAGGCGGCUCACUGGCCCGGUACUGACGCUGAGGUG
rnacentral:rRNA from 1 species